ACGCUCGACACCUACGGAGGCAGCAGUGGGGAAUAUUGCACAAUGGGGGAAACCCUGAUGCAGCGACGCCGCGUGAGCGAAGAAGUAUUUCGGUAUGUAAAGCUCUAUCAGCAGGGAAGAAACUGACGGUACCUGACUAAGAAGCACCGGCUAAAUACGUGCCAGNNGCGNGUANNGNGCGGNUGNAG
rnacentral:rRNA from 1 species